ensembl:lncRNA
CAUCUUAAUCUAUCCUACAAAAACACUAUAAAGGGACAAAGUGAUGUCAUAGUGAUGUCACAUCAUGUGCUUCCCCAUUAAAACUUUCACAGUUUCCUUCUGCAUUUAUGUCAUAUAGUCUAGUGAAGCCAAAGAACUAACAUGAUUAUACUAAUAAUCAUCAAACUGAUAAUUCUGCAGCAUUUUUCAGAAUCCAGUGAUGUUACACAGACACCAGUAUUAUGGGUUUCACAGGGUGAAUCUGCACAAAUGAACUGCAGUCAUACUAUGGGUGUAGGCUAUAACUACAUGUAUUGGUUUCAACAACGAAAGGGAGAAACAAUGAGACUCAUUGCUUUCACAAUGCUAGGCAGCAAGGCAGACUUUGGUGAAUUUUCUGUUGAUAAAUACUCAGCUGAAAAGACUGUAGCUGAUAAAGGGUCUUUCACAGUGAAGAAGCUGCAGCCCGAUGACAGUGGUGUGUAUUGCUGUGCAGUGAGUAAACACAGUGACACAGACCUACUGUGCUGCUGUACAAAAACCUAAAAUGUUCAUGCUCCCUAAACACAGAACAGGUGCUAUGACAGAUGUUAAUAAUGACAAUGAAAUUUUGCAGUUUGUUUGCAGCGCCGCCAUAUAAUGAUUGUGACCACCAGCUUCCAAAUUAUAUAAUAAAUAAAUAAAUAAAUACCCA